UAGCCGUAAACGAUACUCGCUAGGUGUCGGCCACGGUGCGACCGUUGUCGGUGCCGUAGGGAAGCCGUGAAGCGAGCCACCUGGGAAGUACGGCCGCAAGGCUGAAACUUAAAGGAAUUGGCGGGGGAGCACCACAACGGAUGGAGCUUGCGGUUUAAUUGGAUUCAACGCCGGAAAUCUUACCGGGACCGACAGCAACAUGAAGGCCAGGCUGAAGACUUUGCCGGAUUAGCUGAGAGGAGGUGCAUGGCGUAGUCGUGU
rnacentral:rRNA from 1 species